rnacentral:rRNA from 1 species
CGCGAAAUCUCCCUUCGGGGAGAAGUAGAGUGGCGCACGGGUGAGUAACACGUAGGUAAUCUACCUCUGGGUGGGGAAUAACAGCCGGAAACGGCUGCUAAUACCGCAUAACGCAGCGGCACCACAUGGUGACAGUUGUUAAAGCGGGGGAUUCUUCGGAACCUCGCGCCUGGAGAGGAGCCUGCGGCGGAUUAGCUAGUUGGUAGGGUAACGGCCUACCAAGGCAACGAUCCGUAGCCGGCCUGAGAGGGCGGUCGGCCACACUGGCACUGACAUACGGGCCAGACUCCUACGGGAGGCAGCAGUCGGGAAUUUUGGGCAAUGGGCGAAAGCCUGACCCAGCAACGCCGCGUGAAGGAUGAAGUUUUUCGGAAUGUAAACUUCACAAGAAUGGGAAGAAUAAGUCUGGGUUAAUAUCCCUGACGAUGACGGUACCAUUUGUAAGCUCCGGCUAACUCCGUGCCAGCAGCCGCGGUAAUACGGGGGGAGCAAGCGUUGUUCGGAUUUACUGGGCGUAAAGGGCGCGUAGGCGGCGCAACAAGUCACUUGUGAAAUCUCCGGGCUUAACUCGGAGCGGCCAAGUGAUACUGUCGUGCUAGAGUGCGGAAGGGGCUACUGGAAUUCUCGGUGUAGCGGUGAAAUGCGUAGAUAUCGAGAGGAACACCUGCGGCGAAGGCGGGUAGCUGGGCCGACACUGACGCUGAGGCGCGAAAGCUAGGGGA